rnacentral:lncRNA from 1 species
AAAAGACCCCAUCUGAAUGCAUCCGAUCACUAGGUUAGAAAUGCUGCAACACAAAAAUAUCCACACUUACCAUUGUUGUUGGUAACAGAAACAUCCUUUGGUAACUAGUAUUUUCCUAUACUUCUUCUCGGCUAUGAAGAAAAUUAGUAUGUGCCUGUGAGGCAUCAGGAAGCCCAUAAACGUCCAAGUUGGCGUUGAAAGCACGUAUUUUGAUCACCAUUCAGCUUGAAGACAUGGUCCUCUAUGGGGAGAGGAGUGCACCAGGUGCAGCCGCCCAGACUCCGGUACUUCAUUUCCAACAAAACGGAGGGCCGACACUGGAAGGCAAGCGGUCUCCAGCGGUCCAGCCUGCCUUCUAUUAGUGAUUUGUCUCACACCUGCACAACGGCAAACUGUCUAUCACUCCUAGGCCCUAGACGAUAUCGCGCAGUGGUGGAGCUUAGACCUAAACCCAGUAAGGGCCAACCAUUGAAGAACAAUGUGUUAGGAUCGGGAGAAGGGCCAAGUGCAAGUCUACUGUCUGUUGUCCGACAAUGGAAGACGUAAGUGGGAAGAGUCUGAGAGAGCGGUAGAGUUGUCAGGUUACACUUGGGUGAGUUGGGUGAGCUGUUGCCAGACUGCGGCGGGUUGCUAAAAGUACAUAAAGAUCUGUAAUUGAAUGUAGCGUUAACGAAGAACGCAAUACAUAAACACCGCAACUCUGUUCUCUGAACUUUCUGAAUCCAUUUGUCUGUUCCAUUAUGUUCUGUCCCAAUUCUUCCUCUUCUUCUACGAAUUUAUACGAUUCCUGGCGGGAUCGUAACAGUUGGUAAUCAAAGUGGAGCGGUUUGAUUCAAGAGGGGGAAUUUUUUUUCUGACAUUGCGCUUGAUCUGGUACCAUAUCGGAAACCAUCUAAGGUGCAACUGGAGAUGGCAGUGUUUGUGG